rnacentral:rRNA from 1 species
UACGGAGGGUGCGAGCGUUGUCCGGAAUCACUGGGCGUAAAGGGCGCGUAGGCGGCGCGACAAGUCAAUGGUGAAAGCCCGAGGCUCAACUUCGGGUCGGCCACUGAUACUGUUGGGCUUGAGCACUGUAGAGGCAGGUGGAAUUCCGGGUGUAGCGGUGGAAUGCGUAGAGAUCCGGAAGAACACCGGUGGCGAAGGCGGCCUGCUGGGCAGUAGCUGACGCUGAUGCGCGACAGCGUGGGGGGCAAACAGG